CUGAUUUUUCUUCUGGUUGUUUUUACAGGAGAGAGACUGAGAGAGAGAUUAGUUUGGAGGGUUGCUGUUGCUGGAAAAGAAUCCUUAGAUCUACCUACUUUGGAUUGAUUUUGUUUCGUGCAUUGAAUUCUCUGCUAUAGCACAAAGCAGGCCACCACUCAGUUCCGUGAACUGAGAGGUGCACCACUCGAUUCCGUGAAUUGAGAGGUGCAAUGGCAAGCCACUGCUCAGUUCCGUGAACUGAGCGGAGGGCAAAUGCAAAGGCAGGCCACCACUUAGUUCCGUGAACUUUGGGGUGCACCGCUCAAUUCCGUGAAUUGAGCAGGCCGCUUCUUAGUUCUAAGAACUAAGAGGUGCAUAAAUGUGUGCUAAAUGGAGAACGUCUCCCUCACUAAACCAGCUUCGCGAUGUACACAUUCAGCUGCAACUUUUGAAACACAGCCUAGUGAGCUUCUGUUUCUCUCCCUCUUUUUUUCUGUCAGUUUUGCAUAAAUUUCAUUCUUACUUGAGGAUUGGAGUAUCUUGCAUAUAUUUUUGUUGCACAACUUGAUUACUUAUUGCAGGGACAUAUUCAGUAGGGGGAGUAGUUAAAUCAGAAUGCUUGCCUGCUUGGCAUUUGAUCAGCCUGCUGCUUGCGUAAAGUUUAACCAAAAAAUAACCCUGUUUAGCUUUUGUUAUAUUGCUGACUAGAUCAUUGGUACUCUGCUAGUAUAUGCAGUUCUAUUAUUUCUUUUAUAAUCAUAUCUUGUGUUGAAUAUGUUUGACAAAGAAGAAAACAGGUCACAUGUCAAGUCAACUGGUACCCAUUCUUAACUCUAUCUCAAUGUAUACUUAACACGCCCUUAUAUUGCAAGAAUGCCGGAGUUUCUUUUUUACUUGUAACAGGUCUAUCAAUCUUGUGCUAAGUUUCUGCCAUUUUUCUCGAUGAGGGUCAGGUUAGUACAUUCUUUUCUUACGUCGACAUGCGUUGAUGCUUAGAGUUUAAAGCGCCCAUGUCACAUUCCAUUUGGGCAUAAUGUUUCUUUCAGAUAAAAAGGUAAAUAUUUUUAACUCUAAUUCUAUGCUUAUUAUGAUCUGCCAAAAAUUGUUUCUAACUUGAGCGUCGGAGUAUCUUUUUUGUUUUUCGCAGGUCUUCCUUUUGUAUUCCUAUGACAAAUUCAAUUAGCAGAGUUGUUGAAAUGGAAUGUUGGUGCCUCGUGGGGAAUAUUAUCUGUUUUUUUCUAUGUUUUGCAUUAAAAUUGUUUCUAACUUGAGCGUCGGAGUAUCUUUUUGUUUUUGCAGGUCUUGCCUUUGUAUUCCUAUGACGAAUUCAAUUAGCAGAGUUGUUGAAACAGAAUGCUGGUGCCUCGUCGGGAAUAUCAUCUGUUUUUUUUUCUAUGUUUUGCAUAAAAUUGUUUCUAACUUGAGCUUCAGAGUAUCCUUUUUGUUUUCUGCAGGUCUUGCCUUUGUAUUCCUAUGACAAAUUAAAUUGACAGAGUUGUUGAAAUGGAAUGCUGGUGCCUCGUGGGGAAUGAUAUCUGUGUUAUUUUUUAUUAUGUUUUGCAUAAAAUUAUUUCUAACUUGAGCGUCGGAGUGUCUUUUUUGUUUUUUGCAGAUCUUGCCUACGACCCAUUCAAUUAGCUGAGUUGUUGAAACGGAACGCUAUUACUCUUUGCAUAAAAUUGUUUCUAACUUAGCAUCGGAGUAUCUUUUUUGUUUUGUUUUUUGCAGGUCCUGGCUUUGUAUUCCUACUAUCGCCAAUAUAUUUAGCAGAGUUGUUGAAACAGAAUGCUGGUGCCUCAUUGGGAAUGCUAUCUGUUUGGCUUUUGGAAUUUCAUCAGUUUGCCUUUAGGGUAUGUCUGACUUCUAAGGAUACAAAUGGAGACUGAUCAGUCCUUUGAAUUGUAUAAUAAUGUGACCCUCCUCGUCCCUAAAGGAGGCUACAUUUCAACUUCAAAAGUCUUGCCUGCUUAUUUGGAGGCCACUCAUUAGGGAUAAUUUGUAUAGUGGAAUGCUGGUGCCUGGUAGAGAAUGCUUUCGUGCUUAAAAGUAUACCAGUCUGUUGCCAGGGUUCAGGAAAGUACUAGUCACAAGUUUGAUUCUAAAGUCUGACAAAGAGGCGUUUUAUCUGGCCAAGUUAAACAUGAAUGCUAAUUUAGACAAUCUUGCCGGAAAUAACAUGAUGCUGCCUGUAAUCUAUUCCACUCA